UUACAGAUUGACAGAAGAGGCCACAAAUGGAAAUCCGUGGGCACCUGAUACGCGUACCCUGAAGAAUGAAGAUGAUAUCCAAGGCUGCUUUUGAAGUUGAUGAUUAUAGCAGAAUUCUGCAUAUUCUGCACAACAGGUUUCUUAGUUUUAUCUUUUUGAUUUCUUUUAAUGUGUUUAGUUUAAUGUGUGACAUUGUAGUAAUGACAUGUUUUCCACAAAUACUGCCAUCAUAAGAACCUUAAUCCUCCACCAGGUUCAGCCAUAGGUCUCAUCAUGAGAGAUCAGAUUAUUGUUCAACUUUGAAGCCUUAAAUUUUUUUUAUUUCUUAUUCGGUUAACUGAAUAACACAAAAUCCAAAUCCGAAAACCGAAUAAUAAUUCGGUUAAAAAAAAUCGGUUCGGUUCGGUUAUUCGGUUUUAUCCGUUUUUUGUUCACUCCUAGUAUCCCAUCUGAUGGGUCACUAAUCCCUCCUAUAAAUAGCCUAGGGGAGUCAGACUUUUGAUUCAUUCAAUUCCAAGCAUUCAAAUCAUUGUUAAGUCAUUCAAAUAUUCAUCAUUCAUAAGUCUCAUAGUUUAUUUUGAGAUAGAGUUCAAAACAUUUUAUUUGGUUUGUCGUGGUGUAUACUAUUUGUAGUACUGGGAGACAAGUGCUAUUAGCUUUGAGCACCGUAAGGAGGACAUAAAAGGACAUAAUACCAAGUACUAGCCUUGACAUAUAUUGCAUAUCAAUUUUGG
rnacentral:lncRNA from 1 species